rnacentral:rRNA from 1 species
UACGUAGGGGGCAAGCGUUGUCCGGAAUCAUUGGGCGUAAAGCGCGUGUAGGCGGUUCGGUAAGUCUGCUGUGAAAGUCCAGGGCUCAACCCUGGGAUGCCGGUGGAUACUGUCGGGCUAGAGUGCGGAAGAGGCGAGUGGAAUUCCCGGUGUAGCGGUGAAAUGCGCAGAUAUCGGGAGGAACACCAAUUGCGAAGGCAGCUCGCUGGGACGUAACUGACGCUGAGACGCGAAAGCGUGGGGAGCAAACAGG